rfam:Pseudomonas batumici strain TCM B-321 Contig_112, whole genome shotgun sequence.
UGUGGCCGGAACGCUGUGCCAGUCGAUCAUCGUAUGCUGGUGCAGUGCCUCCCUGCCGCG